UUUUGCAGCUUCACAUCUGCUCCUCUUUGUGCAUUAGCUGGAUCUCAGUGUUAUGCUUGGUUCCACUCAGCGUGAUAAGUUAUCUAUCGCUGAGGACACUGUAAAAGGUGGCCAAGGUAAAUGCAGAUGAACCGCUUCUAACAGUCCAUUUAAUUGGACAAUAUUAUUUAUGAUCUGAUCUCAAAUCAGGUAGGACUACCCGCUGAACUUAAGCAUAUCAAUAAGCGGAGGAAAAGAAACUAACAAGGAUUCCCCUAGUAACGGCGAGUGAAGCGGGAAGAGCUCAAAUUUAAAAUCUGGCAGUGUAUUCUGUCCGAGUUGUAGUCUAGAGAAGCAUCAUCCGUGCUGGACCAUGUACAAGUCUCUUGGAACAGAGCGUCAUAGAGGGUGAGAAUCCCGUCCUUGACAUGGACUCCCAGUACUUUGUGUUGUGCUCUCAACGAGUCGAGUUGUUUGGGAAUGCAGCUCAAAAUGGGUGGUAAAUUCCAUCUAAAGCUAAAUAUUGGCGAGAGACCGAUAGCGAACAAGUACCGUGAGGGAAAGAUGAAAAGCACUUUGGAGAGAGAGUUAAACAGUACGUGAAAUUGUUGAAAUGGAAACGCUUGAAGUCAGUCGCGUUCUCUGGGAUUCAGCCUUGCUUUUGCUUGGUGCAUUUCCUAGUCUACGGGCCAGCAUGAAUUUUGACCGGUGGAAAAAGAUUUGGGGAAUGUGGCACCUUCGGGUGUGUUAUAGCCCCUUGUCAUAUACAUCGGUUGGGAUUGAGGUCUUAGUGCACGCUUCGGUUGUGCUUUGAUGCUGGCGUAAUGGCUUUAAACGACCCGUCUUGAAACACGGACCAAGGAGUCUAACAUGUCUGCAAGUGUUUGGGUGCAAAACCCGAGCGCGAAAUGAAAGUGAUAGUUGGGAACCUCUUCAGAGGGGCACCGACGCCCGGACCAGACCUUCUGUGACGGAUCCGAGGUAGAGCAUAUAUGUUGGGACCCGAAAGAUGGUGAACUAUGCCUGCAUAGGGUGAAGCCAGAGGAAACUCUGGUGGAGGCUCGUAGCGAUUCUGACGUGCAAAUCGAUCGUCAAAUGUGGGUAUAGGGGCGAAAGA
rnacentral:rRNA from 1 species